AGAGUUUGAUCAUGGCUCAGGACGAACGCUGGCGGCGUGCCUAACACUUGCAAGUCGAACGAAGCAGCAGGGAAUGAGACUUCGGUCAAAGGAACUGUUGACUUAGUGGCGAACGGGUGAGUAAUGCGUGAGCAACCUGCCCCGGAGAGGGGGACAACAGUUGGAAACGACUGCUAAUACCGCAUGAUGUGCGGGGGAGGCAUCUCCCCUGCAUCAAAGAUUUAUCGCUCCGGGAUGGGCUCGCGUCUGAUUAGCUAGUUGGUGAGGUAACGGCUCACCAAGGCGACGAUCAGUAGCCGGACUGAGAGGUUGAACGGCCACAUUGGGACUGAGAUACGGCCCAGACUCCUACGGGAGGCAGCAGUGGGGAAUAUUGGGCAAUGGGCGCAAGCCUGACCCAGCAACGCCGCGUGGAGGAAGAAGGCUUUCAGGUUGUAAACUCCUUUUAACAGGGACGAAGGAAGUGACGGUACCUGUUGAAUAAGCCCCGGCUAACUACGUGCCAGCAGCCGCGGUAAUACGUAGGGGGCGAGCGUUGUCCGGAUUUACUGGGUGUAAAGGGCGCGUAGGCGGGAUAGCAAGUCAGAUGUGAAAUCUCAGGGCUCAACCCUGAAACUGCAUUUGAAACUGUUAUUCUUGAGUGUCGGAGAGGUUGACGGGAUUUCCUAGUGUAGCGGUGAAAUGCGUAGAUAUUAGGAGGAACACCAGUGGCGAAGGCGGUCAAACCGGGACGAUAACUGACGCUGAGGCGCGAAAGCGUGGGGGAGCAAACAGGAUUAGAUACCCCUGGUAGUCCACGC
rnacentral:rRNA from 1 species